rnacentral:sRNA from 1 species
GCCAGGCAUGGUGACACAUGCCUGUAAUCCCAGCAGCUCAGGAGGCUGAGGUAGGAGAAUUAGGAGUUCAGAGGCAGCCUCAGCAAUUUAGUGAAGCUCUGAGCAAUUUAGCAAGACCCUUCUCUAU